GUGACCCGGGCAGUGUUUUGACAGGGCAAACAGCAGAGAAAGAACUGGGCGAGCUAGGGGGACCGGGAGCUGGGGCGCCAGAGCUAGAGACAGCGGGCGGGCGAGGAGCUGGCAGAGGCGCGGGGCAAGCGGGGCGGUGGGCGGGCGGAGCCCGGGGGCCGCGGGGCUCGGGUGCGAGUCGGGCAGGGCCAAGGGCUGAGCUCAGGCAGCGGAGCGAGGCGGGGGUGGAUGGCCACAGGGGCGCCGGGGAGCCGCGUCAGGCUUGUCGCGUCGGGCCCCCAUGGUCCCCUAACGCCGCCCCUGCGGCCGCUGCGCGCCACACUCCGCUCUCGCCGGCCCUGCGCCUCUCGGAGCCUCGGGUCUGAGGUGGGAGUGUGAUGUGAGCAGCUGGGCGAGCGGCGGAGAGCAGUGCCAAGAGGAGGAGGGAUCGGGAGCGGAGAGGAGAGCGAGUUAGUCAGCAGAGGUCGGCCGAGGGAGCCAUGAAAACAACUCUCCGGAGGGGAGAGGGGCCGGCGCGGCGCUCCGAGCGGCGGCGCUGAAGGAAAUCCGGGGCCGCGCGGGACGGAAGGGGCCCUCCGCGGGCGGGCUGCGCAGGGCACGGGCGAGCCCCCAGCGGCAAACACCUUCCCGGGGCCAGCCUCGGGCCGGGCCCGCAGGACUCGGAGUUGGUAGGGUCGGCCCGGGACAGCCUAGGAGAGUUCGUUUGGGGGCUGGGGGCUGGGCACUAGGAGGUGACUCGGGUUUCUGUGUAAACUUGGCGGCGGCUGCCGCAGGAAGACUAGCUAGAGGCUAAUUACACAGGUGAGGCCCAGCGGGGCGGGCGGAGUUCUUGGGAGCUGGAAGAGUUUCCUGCGCCCAGGCACCAGGUGGAAGAAAUAUUUCCAUACCAGCCGUCGCGGAGGUGCCACUGUUCCCAGAGGCGUUUUUUUAUUUACGAAGGGCAUUUUGAAAACUAAGAAGCAGACGUAGAAUCAGCGGCGAGCCUGUUGAAGGAACCCACACGUGUAUUUUGCAGCACUCUGGGUAGAAAUUGGAUGUGAAAAUGAAGCCAGACCGAGUUGCCUAAACACAGCUGAGUUCAUAAGAGGAGCAAAGAAAACAAAACAGUGCUGCCAAGUAGACAGGAAGCUGUAGUGGACCUAUCGAGCAGGGGAGGUUGAGCACACCCUCCAUCCAAUCAGCUGUGAGUGCUGUUGCUAUGUGCGCUCUUACUCUGCUGCCUUUGUGAAAACCUUACACAGAGGGAAGUGGAAUCAGCACCAACGCUGAACAUUUGUUUUAACCGCUGCAGACAUCUGGAUCCCUCAGUUUCUGACAGUAUAGCUGUUGACAGCCAGAAGGCAACUUCUUUUAUACAAGGAUUCCAGUAUGGUUUUCAGUGGAAACAAAGGGCUUCACAGAGAAGGUGUGUAAUGAAGUGUUUUUAACGGCUUUAUUUUUAAGCUUCCAAUUUUCUGUAGCUGUUUACCAGUUGUGAUGCUUGCUUUGCAUGGAUUUUUAAUAAAUAGUCUAGAAAAAUGAUCUCACUUUUAAAAGCAUUGAACUUAGAGAAUUUUCUUUAGCUUCAUAUAGCCUGUUUUCUUUGAAUAACAUUGCUUAAAAGAUUAUUAAAAUGCUGGUCUGAACAAUGAGUAGGAAGAAAAGAAACCAAAUACAAUGUGCUCAAUUUAAUGGGGAAAAAUAUGACAGAAAUAAGAAUACAGAGAAGAGAAUGUGAGUUAGCCAGAAACAUUAAAUGUAUAUGGGGGCAGGAGGUAUUUUUUAAAUAAAAGCUGUUAAGGAGAAUGUAUUUAAAAUAAGUUACUUAUUUCUAAUUGAAUUCAUUUUUUCUUAAUUUGACAAAGAUUAUCAGAAUUUAGCUAAGUGAGAUUUUUGGCAUAGUUUAAGGAAUUGAUGUGCUUUUUUAUAAAGCAUUUCUGAAGAUGCUACCUCAAAUUGUGCAGUCUCUUAAUUAUUUGAUCUGUUGACUAGUUCUGUGCAGUUCAGAUAAAGGAUGGUAAGAUAAUUCAACAGCAAAUUUAGUGUAGUGUGUAAUAAAUAUCCAUAUAGAAAAUUGGAGAAUAAACAUUGAAGGCAACAUACCACAAAGAGUUAAGGUAGUAUUUUAAAAUUAAAAGUAGGCCCCCUAAAUGUAAUAAUUCCAUAUCUGACUUAGUUAAUACUGCAAAUAUAGUAAAAUCUUAUUAACUUAAACUACACUAACUUAAUAUUUGUGAUAAUUGAACAGAAUAUAGGUUACCGUUUGUUUAUGUAGGAUCUGGAAGAACUGGUCUGUCCAACAGAUUAUAGUGAAGUUUUAAAGUAUUUUAGAUAAGCAAAAGGUUUUUUUUAGCAUUUUUCUCAAAUGCUGUGAAAUUAAUUAACAUAUUUGAUUUAGCUAAUGAUUAUUUUAAUUAAAACAGCAGACUAAUUAGUAUAUAGCCCAUUUUAUGAACAGUCCAUGUUGAGCUAAUAACCAGUUUUGCUUUUUCAGUUUCACAUGGUUGUCUCAUGGCUUGUUUUAAUUGACUUGGUGAUUGAUGUCUGAUGAAUAAAGUUAGUGUAAGUUCAGAGUUAACAUUAGAGCUUUAUUUGUUAUCCCUACAUAUAAUAUAUUUUGGAAUAGGAUAGGUUUUGUUGUUUUUUUUUGAAAAAGUACCUGUCAUUAGAAAAUCUUAGCAAUCAAUGUCAGCAUUUUUUGGUGAGGAAAGAAUAUGUAGAUAUUUCUUUUCCUUGAAAAGAACUCAAAAUAUAUCCCAUGCUUUUGAGCCUUUUACUGGUCCUUUUUAACAAUAUUACAUAUAUGAUACCUGCAUUAAGUUUAAAAGAUUUCAAAGAGUAGGUACAAAUUUACAAAAUAAAUUAUCCUUAAACACCAUAAAAGUGUUUUAUGUGGACCUAUAUGUUGCUGAACUUUAAGACUCUGACAUUUCUUAGUUUUUCCAGUUUGUUAGGUGUAGCCAAAAACUUGAACUUGAUAGAAGUUAUCAUAAAACUUACCGCAAAAUAAAGUUAUAGUCUUUGGACUUGGUGGCCUCCACAAUGUAAAGCACUCAUUUCCGGGAGAGAAGCUGUAUGUAUUAGGAGUAGAGACAUGAGAGGGUGUUAGGAGUGGAAGGCAGAGAUAUGCAGAGGGCAUCCAAAUUCAUUAAAUAUGCCUUUUUUUUUUUUUUUUUGAGACAGAGUCUCACACUCUUGCCUGGGCUAGAGUGCCGUGGC